CUUCCUCUUCUCGCACCCGCGCCUUCCUCUCCUCUUCCUCUUGCCCCUCGCACGCCCACUACUGUCUCCUUCCCUGCCACCGUCCGGCCUCCUCCCCUCACGUCCUCCUCCUUCCACCCCCUCCGAUCUGGCGCCACCCAAACCCUAACCCCCCGUCCCGCCCCCGGCUCCGGCUCCCGCGGGAGGGUAGGAGGGAUGGCGAGGCGAGGCAAAGGCGGCGGUGUAUGGGACGUGGCGUGGGCGGUGUGGCCCAGGGGGUCGGCGCGGCCGCGGCUUCUCGUCGUCUUCGCCGUCACGUGGGCGCUGCCAUGGGCGAGCUCGAGCUCGACGGGGGAGCAGCGGGGAGAGGAACGUGAGGCCAUGGGGGAGGAAGAAGAUGGCCCUCUUGUUCCCAAGGUUGGUCUUCGCGUGACACUGGUUAAGGUUGGUCUGCUGUCUGCAGGUGCUCGUGGUUCUGGUCGGUUCGUCCUGCUGCGUCUUCGGUCAUCGCUCUACAGAACACAUAAUUGAUACACCUAGGCUCAGCUUCUCUGCAUUGAUAUGAAGGCAUGGAGCGUGUUUCUUUUGUUUUCAACUCGAGAGGCGGCCAGAGAGCCUGGCUAUGCAAGAGGUGUCAUCUUCUAUCACGAAACUCCGGGCAACAAGAACUUCACCAAGAAAAGGACACCUAGGUUUUGGCACAAACUAUUUUGUGCCGGUGUGAAGUGGGGACUGUAUGCGGACAUCGAGUAAUUCCUGGGAUUUGGUAGGAAGCACAUGACCUGUAACUUCAAGAAGACGAACUAUGAAGAGGCGGAUCGCCCUCUGACAGUGUCGUAAAGAAGGCCAUUCUGCAGGUCAUUGAUAUGUCAGAGCUCGGUGUCGUGUCCGCCGGCCGAGCGGCGAGCUGGAGCUGCAUGUCGCUGAACAAGGUGGUCCUACUGUGAGGAUCUCAUCUCUCACUCUAUGUGUGUCUCUCAGUCCUGUUCCCCUUUAUGGUAAUCAUUCAUGCCUGUAGGGAUCACUAAGAUUUUUCUUGGUUUAAUUUGUAGUUGUGGAUUGCUGUGAUUGUUACUGCAAUAGUGGAUAUACACUUGGCAACUCAGUUUAGGAUAUCGCUUGGUAAAUGAUGAUUGUUACUGCAAUAGUGGAUCAUAUAUAUACACUUGGCAACUUUGUUUAGGAUAUCGCUUGGUAAAUGUUGAUUGUUACUGCAAUAGUGGAUGAUAUAUAUAUACACCAUAUAUAUACUAAUUGCUGAUUGUUUCUUCCAUUUGGUGGCAACCUUGUUGUUCCGUGCACUAUUGGCUAUUGUUUUUAUGGUUCGGUUCAUGAAGGUAAAGCACGCUAUGCAUUAUUCACUCUUAAUUGUUUUCAGUUCAUCCAUGGUUAUUCUUUGUUCAUCAUAUGUACCUCUGUUUGAGGCUAUCGCGGCCUACUGUCGAUUGCCAUUUCAUUUUUACCUUCGAGAAGUGGUUGCUGAUGGUUCUGUCAUUGGAGGAGUUGAGAUAGAUAAUUUUGUUAGUAAUCGCGUUGUGCGGUCUAGGACACGAUUUAUCUGGGAAGAAACAUUGGACGGGGGUUGUUCUUAUGUACCUCUAUUUGAGGCUGUCGCGGCCUACUGUAUAUUGCCAUUUCAUUUUUACCUUCGAGAAGUGGUCGUUGAUGGGUCUGUCAUUAGAAUAGUUGAGAUAGAUAAUUUUGUUAGCAAUCACGUUGUGCGGUCUACGACACGAUUUAUCUGGGAAGAAACAUUGGACGGGGGUUGUUCUUUGUUUGAUCAAGCCGUUUUCAGGCGGUGCGCUUCUUACAAGGACUGUACGGAUUUGUCGUUGUAGACUACAACUACGAGAGCAUGUUAGCAUAUAAGGAUGUUGCCCAGUCGGCUAUGGUGGUUGCGAGUGCGCUUGCCCGCUCCGCCUGGCCUGCGGUGCAUGCCGGUUGACAGGGAAGUGUCGUAGGUAUCAAUGUGAGUGUUCCUCUGCAAUUACUUUAUUCAGAGUUAGUCAACUUUGCGUGUAAGUUCUUGGUCCCUUCUAGACCUGUCUUAGAUAAGGUGUGUCCAAGUCAUUGCACUAUGCCUCUGGGCGCCUCUUGUUAUAAACACU